rnacentral:rRNA from 1 species
CCUACGGGUGGCAGCAGUGAGGAAUAUUGGUCAAUGGGCGGGAGCCUGAACCAGCCAAGUCGCGUGAGGGAAGACGGUCCUAUGGAUUGUAAACCUCUUUAGGCGGGGAGCAAUGCCGGGCACGCGUGCCCGGAGGGAGAGUACCCGCAGAAUAAGCAUCGGCUAACUCCGUGCCAGCAGCGGCGGUAAUACGGAGGAUGCGAGCGUUAUCCGGAUUUAUUGGGUGUAAAGGGGGCGCAGACGGCGUUGCAAGCCAGGAGUGAAAGCCCGGGGCCCAACCCCGGGACUGCACUUGAUACUGGGAGGCUAGAGUGCAGGAGGGGCAGGCGGAAUUCGUGGUGUAGCGGUGAAAUGCGUAGAUAUCAGGAGGAACCCCGGUGGCGAAGGCGGCCUGCUAAACUGCGACUGACAUUGAGGCCCGAAAGCGUGGGGAGCAAACAGGAUUAGAUACCCCUGUAGUC